UACGAAGGGGGCUAGCGUUGUUCGGAAUCACUGGGCGUAAAGGGCGCGUAGGCGGCCGAUUAAGUCGGGGGUGAAAGCCUGUGGCUCAACCACAGAAUUGCCUUCGAUACUGAUUGGCUUGAGACCGGAAGAGGUCAGUGGAACUGCGAGUGUAGAGGUGAAAUUCGUAGAUAUUCGCAAGAACACCAGUGGCGAAGGCGGCUGACUGGUCCGGUACUGACGCUGAGGUGCGAAAGCGUGGGGAGCAAACAGG
rnacentral:rRNA from 1 species